CUGGGCGUGGUGGCAGGUGCCUGUAGUCCCAGCUACUCAGGAGGCUGUGGCAGGAGAAUGGCGUGAACCCAGGAGGCGGAGCUUGCAGUGAGCCAAGAUCGCACCACUGCACUCCAGCCUGGGCGAUGGAGCGAGACUCUGUCUCAUAAAAAAAAAAAGCAGGGUUUUCUUUCUUUUUUUUUUGAGACAGGGUCUCAAAAAACAGGCUGGAGUGCAGUGGUGUGAUCACAGAUGCUCACUGCAGCCUCGACCUCCCAGGCUCAAGUGAUCCUCCCACCUCAGCCUCCUGAGUAGCUGGGAUCACACAUAGCUAUUUUUUUUUUUUUUAGUAGAGAUGAGGUCUCACUAUGCUGCCCAGGCUGGUCCCAAACUGCUGGGAAUACAGGUGUGAGCUACUGUUCCUGGCUGUUAAAAGCAGUUUUAGCCAGGCACAGUGGCUCACCCAAUAUGGCUUUUUAAUGUCUUUUUUGGGCAAUCUUUUCCACUUAGGGGCAGUUGGUGCUAAUACAUAUUGCUAUUACCAGAGCUGGCAGUAGGGUCCAUCUCAUUGAAACAAGUGACUUAGCAUGGACCCAUAUAUAUCUGUCAUAAAAAAUAGGCUUUUCUUUCAAGAUCAAAAAAUAAGGGGAAUUUUGUUCAUAUUUGGGAACUAUAGUGAUGCAGGGCUGCGGUCAACAUCUGGACAGCAUAAGUCUCCACACUAGAGGGGAGUGUGGGGCUCCCAUUCACAGGACAAACCCCAUGGGUUUGUAGAUUUAAGAUGAUAAUUUUCUGGCAGGCAUUCAGUGAAGUGUCUUUUCCUAACAAAUGUAAUUAAAACAAUUUUCUUUUUUUUUUUUUUUGGAGACGGAGUCUCAUUCUGUCACCCAGGCUGGAGUGCAGUGGCAGGAGGUUCAAGCAAUUCUCCUGCCUCAGCCUCCCAAGUAGCUGGGAUUACAGGCGCAUGCCACCACACCAGGCUAAUUUUUGUAUUUUAGUAGAGACGGGGUUUCACCAAGUUGGCCAGGCUGGUCUCAAACUCCUGACCUCAGGUGAUCCACCCGCCUCAGCCUCCCAAAGAGAUGGGAUUACAGGUGUGAGACCCCACACCCGGCAAAACAAUUUUCUGACAGAUGGAAGUUAAAGGUGUGAAGAGCACCUUUUCCUAACUUGCAUAAAGAUCUAUGGAAAUGCCACCCAGCAGUCUCAAAGUAAGGAGAGGAGCCUGCCUCCUAGGACCUGCCCUUUCAAAUGAAUAUGGAAGCCCUGAUGUAGCACUCGUGAGAUUUUACUGUCUGAGCAUGUUUUGUUGUUGUUUGGUUUCAGACAGAGUCUUGCCUGUUGCCCAGGCUGGAGUGCAAUGGCAUGAUCUCGGCUCACUGCAACCUCUGCCUCCUGGGUUCGAGUCAUUCUUCUGCCUCAGCCUCCUGAAUAGCUGGGAUUACAGGCGUGAGCCACCACGCCUGGCUAAUUUUUUGUAUCUUUAGUAGAGACGGGGUUUCACCAUAUUGGCCAGGCUGGUCUCAAACUCCUGAUCUCGUGAUCCACCCACCUCGGGCUCCCAAAGUGCUGGGAUUACAGGCGUGAGCCACCGUGCCUGGUCAUCUGUGGUUC
rnacentral:lncRNA from 10 species